rnacentral:rRNA from 1 species
AUUGAACGCUGGCGGCAGGCCUAACACAUGCAAGUCGAGCGGAUGAAGGGAGCUUGCUCCUGGAUUCAGCGGCGGACGGGUGAGUAAUGCCUAGGAAUCUGCCUGGUCUUGGGGGAUAACGUCCGGACACGGGCGCUAAUACCGCAUACGUCCUGAGGGAGAAAGUGGGGGAUCUUCGGACCUCACGCUAUCAGAUGAGCCUAGGUCGGAUUAGCUAGUUGGUGGGGUAAAGGCCUACCAAGGCGACGAUCCGUAACUGGUCUGAGAGGAUGAUCAGUCACACUGGAACUGAGACACGGUCCAGACUCCUACGGGAGGCAGCAGUGGGGAAUAUUGGACAAUGGGCGAAAGCCUGAUCCAGCCAUGCCGCGUGUGUGAAGAAGGUCUUCGGAUUGUAAAGCACUUUAAGUUGGGAGGAAGGGCAGUAAGUUAAUACCUUGCUGUUUUGACGGUACCAACAGAAUAAGCACCGGCUAACUUCGUG